CCAAACAUAAUAGAAUCUAUGGGGUCACACACAAAAAAGAUUUUUGACUGAUCAAAUGGUUGAAUUACGAUUAUGAAUCGUAACAGGAUUUGAUUAUCAAUUUGAUUGAUAAUUGAUCUAAUACAAAUAUUGCAUUAUAUAACCUACUAAAGAGUUAGUAAGUUAUAGGAGGAUUAAUUAGUAAUAGGAUUGCUAAUUGAUUAAAUUUGAUUGAGCAAUAGGACUUGCAUCAAGUCUAAUUUGAUUGGAUUUAAUUUGACUUAUUAUGGGUUUGAUUUGAUCAACCCUAAUAGGGUUAUAGGAUAAUCCCAAA
rnacentral:lncRNA from 1 species